UAAUGGAAGUAAAUCCAUCAAAAGGAUCUAUCCACGAGCACUGGUAUAAGAUUGAUCAAGUCCCAUAAGAAAUUGCAUCGGUCGUGGAGAUCACUCGCUUCUCUCUGAAGCCUGUGGUUGUCUCCUUCCUCCUCUCUCAUUUGAAAUUCCGGCAAGUUCCUCUCACUACUGUCACUUGUUUACUCCAUAGCUCUACAAUCUUGGUCCUUCACGUUUGCCUAUGUGUAUUCCUAUUAUACCAAAUUUACAAACUUUGUUCAAAACUUGGAUUCAGUUCCUCUUUCUAUUGAUUUCUUCUUUCAUUUUGUAUGGAUGUGGGUGCAGGUUGAUGAACUUGCAGUGGGUGCAAACUCAGUUGAUUGUGACUUUAAUCGGAUUGUUGCAAAGGUUUCUUGUAGUGAUUCAAGUAACUCAUUCGGGUGUAGCAUUCAAUCGACAUGCUUAGGAUGAUUUCUGAGCAUACUUGUCCAGGCAGAAGGUUGGUUGUCUAGCUGAGGCUGCAGAGUUGAGUCAUCUAGCCGAUGUGUCAAUAUGUCUAAUUUCGAUCGUUUACUGGAUCAUGGUGUCAAAAACAACUGUCAACUUUUCAUUUGGAUUACGUGGGUAUUGAGACAUGUCUCACUGAUGUGUAACUAUGUUCAAGGUUGGUGAUCUAGCAGUUGAGGAGGCUGCAAAGUUGAUUGAUUUAGCAGAUGUGCUAAUAUACUAUGAUGUUAAAAACAAGUGCCUAAAGAGAUUCCAGCAGCCAUAUCUCAUACCUUGUGGCAGUGAAGAGAUCAGUGGACAUGCUCAGGAUUAUGAUUGAGCAAAUUCUUGCCACUGGGACUGCAAGUGAACUUGUUGAAUACAUGGUGAAGUUUGUGUGCAACAAAGUACUUGAAGUACCCAUGGGAGGUCACAAAGAGUUUGAAGAAACAAGAUGAGCCAUGGAUGAAGUCACCAGGUUACUGGAGGAUGAUAACAUCACUGUGUUUGGGGUGCACGGAAGAGGAGGUGUUGGCAAGACAACCAUGGUGAAACAUGUCAGUGUUCAAGCUGAAAAGGAUGGGCUUUUUGCUUAUGCGAUUAUGGUUGUUGUAUCCCAAAGCCCUGAUUUGCAAAAAAUUCAAAGCACAUUGGCAGAUCUGCUGGGAUCGAAAUGGUGGAGGAGACAGAAGUUGGAUGCGCCAGAAGAUUGAAGAGAGGAUCGUGAUUGAAAAUGGGAUCUUUGUAAUCUUGGACGACAUCCCAAAUAUGUCAAGCAUUGAAAUUCCUGAUCAGAGUGGGCUUCAGUGAUGCAAUUCCUAAGUCCUACUCACCAAGGAUAAUGAAUGUCUGCCAUGCUAUGGGGUGCCAAGCACUGAUCCCUCUCAACAGACUACCAGAUGAAGAUUCUUGGAAUCUAUUCCUGAACAAUUCAGGGAAGUCUUUUCAUGAAUCUACCAAUUCCUAUGAUGAAGCGAGGGAGGUAGCUAGAGAAUGCGCUGGUCUCCCAAAUGCACUGAAAGAAGCUGCAAGGGCACUUGGACAUAAAUAGGCUGACGAAUGGAAGGAAGAAGAUGCAAAGGCCCUGGGAGAUAAUGACUUGGACGAAUGGAAUCUAGCAGCUCCACAACUAAAUGCAGCUCAACCUGUCAACCCUAAAGAUGAGAGAGACGCAUAUCACAAGAAUAAAUUUAAGCUAUGAUACCAUGAGAUCCCGAUGAUGCUAAGUUAUUCUUCGUGCUUGCUGCAUGUUCCGGGAAGAUUAUGAUAUAUGUUUGAGGACAAGCAUAAAUUGACAGAAAUAUAGAGAGAGUAAUAAUUCAGAGAGAAUGGAGAUUCAUGUGUGUUUAUUCAUCUCAUACAAGAGGGUAUUUAUAGGAAUACAUUACAAGUGUGAAAGCUCAAAGAUAAUCUCAAGCUUGGUAUCAACUUGAUUUACAGCUGCAGCUCAACAUGAUAGCUGUGAUGAUGAUAAUUGCCAUGCUUGUUGCCCUUUGGCAUAAAGCUUGUCACACAAGUCUCUAUACCUAUAUUAUACACUCAAGUACCUUAUCUAUACACUCAAGUGCCUAUUUAUACAUGAUAUAGACAUUUAUACUAUGACUCAUAUAUACUACAAUAUGAUUCAUGUAUACU